GAGCCCCGAUAGGGGGCUACGGGAUAUCUGAGGAAACUCCAGCAUCCUGGCUCUAGGGAAUUCCACGAGGAAUAGGGAUAAUAUCCCUGGCAACCGCACAGAAAAUCCCCUCUAUGAACUCUAUGAAGAUGAAUCUUAGGGUAUGCUAGGUAACUGGCAUAGCUGGAAGAAGAGAUCAUAGGGGGUUGAAAUGCGGACCUCCCUGGAUUAAGUAGGGAAAUUAGUGAGCUAGAGCCCGAAAUUUCCCUAGACGCUAAGCUAAAUCCCCCACAUACAGAAGCUGGGUUAUUGUCGGGGCUC
rfam:Candidatus Acidianus copahuensis strain ALE1 ctg7180000000565, whole genome shotgun sequence.